AGCAGCCGCGGUAAUUCCAGCUCCAAUAGCGUAUAUUAAAGUUGUUGCAGUUAAAAAGCUCGUAGUUGAAUUUCGGGAUCAAUAUAUCGGUCGUGCCCCUGUACGUACUGGUAUCAUUGAUUUCUCCUUUCUGACGAACAAUGAUAUCAUUAAUUUGGUGUUAUAGGGAGUUAGGACUGUUACUUUGAAAAAAUUAGAGUGUUUAAAGCAGGCAUUAGCUUGAAUACAUUGGCAUGGAAUAAUGAAAUAGGACGUUUGACCUUAUUUUGUUGGUUUCUAGGAUCGACGUAAUGAUUAAUAGGGAUAGUUGGGGGCAUUAGUAUUCAAUUGUCAGAGGUGAAAUUCUUGGAUUUAUUGAAGACUAACUACUGCGAAAGCAUUUGCCAAGGAUGUUUUCAUUAAUCAAGAACGAAAGUUAGGGGAUCGAAGACGAUCAGAUACCGUCGUAGUCUUAACCAUAAACUAUGCCGACUAGGGAUCGGAUGAUGUUAAUUUUUUAAUGACUCAUUCGGCGCCUUUA
rnacentral:rRNA from 1 species